AUGGAGCCGACCUUGAAAUACCACCCUUUAAUGUUUGAUGUUCUAACGUUGACCCGUAAUCCGGGUUGCGGACAGUGUCUGGUGGGUAGUUUGACUGGGGCGGUCUCCUCCUAAAGAGUAACGGAGGAGCACGAAGGUUGGCUAAUCCUGGUCGGACAUCAGGAGGUUAGUGCAAUGGCAUAAGCCAGCUUGACUGCGAGCGUGACGGCGCGAGCAGGUGCGAAAGCAGGUCAUAGUGAUCCGGUGGUUCUGAAUGGAAGGGCCAUCGCUCAACGGAUAAAAGGUACUCCGGGGAUAACAGGCUGAUACCGCCCAAGAGUUCAUAUCGACGGCGGUGUUUGGCACCUCGAUGUCGGCUCAUCACAUCCUGGGGCUGAAGUAGGUCCCAAGGGUAUGGCUGUUCGCCAUUUAAAGUGGUACGCGAGCUGGGUUUAGAACGUCGUGAGACAGUUCGGUCCCUAUCUGCCGUGGGCGCUGGAGAACUGAGGGGGGCUGCUCCUAGUACGAGAGGACCGGAGUGGACGCAUCACUGGUGUUCGGGUUGUCAUGCCAAUGGCACUGCCCGGUAGCUAAAUGCGGAAGAGAUAAGUGCUGAAAGCAUCUAAGCACGAAACUUGCCCCGAGAUGAGUUCUCCCUGACCCUUUAAGGGUCCUGAAGGAACGUUGAAGACGACGACGUUGAUAGGCCGGGUGUGUAAGCGCAG
rnacentral:rRNA from 1 species